GACGAACGCUGGCGGCGUGCCUAAUACAUGCAAGUUGAGCGCUGAAGGUUGGUACUUGUACCAACUGGAUGAGUAGCGAACGGGUGAGUAACGCGUGGGGAAUCUGCCUUUGAGCGGGGGACAACAUUUGGAAACGAAUGCUAAUACCGCAUAAAAACUUUAAACACAAGUUUUAAGUUUGAAAGAUGCAAUUGCAUCACUCAAAGAUGAUCCCGCGUUGUAUUAGCUAGUUGGUGAGGUAAAGGCUCACCAAGGCGAUGAUACAUAGCCGACCUGAGAGGGCGAUCGGCCACCUUGGGACUGGGACACGGCCCAAACUCCUACGGGAGGCAGCAGUAGGGAAUCUUCGGCAAUGGACGAAAGGCUGACCGAGCAACGCCGCGUGAGGGAAGAAGGUUUUCGGAUCGUAAAACUCUGUUGGUAGAGAAGAACGUUGGUGAGAGUGGAAAGCUCAUCAAGUGACGGUAACUACCCAGAAAGGGACGGCUAACUACGUG
rnacentral:rRNA from 1 species